rnacentral:rRNA from 1 species
UACGGAGGGUGCGAGCGUUGUCCGGAAUCAUUGGGCGUAAAGCGCGCGUAGGCGGCCUCGUAAGUCCGUUGUGAAAGUCAAAGGCUCAACCUUUGAAAGCCGAUGGAUACUGUGAGGCUAGGGUCCGGAAGAGGCGAGUGGAAUUCCUGGUGUAGCGGUGGAAUGCGCAGAUAUCAGGAGGAACACCAAUAGCGAAGGCAGCUCGCUGGGACGGUACUGACGCUAAGGCGCGAAAGCGUGGGGAGCGAACAGG